AUACUUACCUGGCGUGGAGGCUACCUUGAUCAAGAAGGAGGUUCCUCCAGGGUGAGGCCCUUCCAUUGCACUUAGGUUGGGUAAGCAUCAAUCAAUAGGAUAAGGAAAGUCGUGUGAUGUUCACACCAGAUUUUUAGCAAUUACUUAAAAAAGCAUUGCUUA
rnacentral:snRNA from 11 species